GGGGAAUAUUGGACAAUGGGCGCAAGCCUGAUCCAGCCAUGCCGCGUGAGUGAUGAAGGCCUUAGGGUUGUAAAGCUCUUUCAGUGGGGAAGAUAAUGACGGUACCCACAGAAGAAGCCCCGGCUAACUUCGUGCCAGCAGCCGCGGUAAUACGAAGGGGGCUAGCGUUGUUCGGAUUUACUGGGCGUAAAGCGCACGUAGGCGGAUUGUUAAGUCAGGGGUGAAAUCCUGGAGCUCAACUCCAGAACUGCCUUUGAUACUGGCAAUCUAGAGUCCGGAAGAGGUGAGUGGAACUCCUAGUGUAGAGGUGGAAUUCGUAGAUAUUAGGAAGAACACCAGUGGCGAAGGCGGCUCACUGGUCCGGUACUGACGCUGAGGUGCGAAAGCGUGGGGAGCAAAC
rnacentral:rRNA from 1 species